AAGAAAAUAAAAAAGUUUUUCAACGAAUCCUUUAUUUGAAAUUUAUUUACUUAAUUCCAAGGGCAGAGACACACGGUGUUUAGUGCUCUCCCAAGCCUUCUCUUUGGACAGUCGUUGGGAGGAGCUAUGACUUUUAAGCUCUCAUGGCCUAAAACAUUGGUUAAGAAGUGGUUCAACUAGAAGAACAAGGCCGAUGAUUUCGUAUAAGAUGAUAUCACUUAUAGAGGUGGGGGUGAUGAAGAAUGGAGAAGCCACUGUUCAAAGAGGGAGACGUGUGGUUGAUUAAGGAUGAACGUUAUGGAUGGAUUUAGAUGCUUGUAUUUUGAGGGUUGAUUUGUGUGGUUGAUACAUUGACUAAUUUGUGUAUUUUGAGGUUUAAUUUGUGUGGUUGGUACAUUUAGACCGCAACAUUAAUUAAGUAAAUUAUUGACUACUUUAUUUUGUA